UAAACAAACAAACACCCCUGUGCUCCACUCCACUUAGUACAGUCUGGCUCCCUCUUGUAUUAAUUCAAUUGGAUUCUUCCACUUCCUGUUUGUCAGUCGGACCUUUGAUUGGGAGGCACCGGAGCGCGUGCUUCAAACAGCUCGGAGUCCAGUGUUGUCCCACCUGUCGUCGUCUCUUCAGGGCCUGUGGACCAUCCGAGCCUUUGGAGCAGAGGAGAGGUUCCAGAAAGCCUUCAAUGCCCAGCAGGACCUGCACUCAGAGGCCUGGUUCCUGUUGCUGACCACCUCUCGCUGGUUCGCUGUCCGUCUCCACGGCAUCUGCUCCAUCUUUGUUACCGUCACCACCUUUGGCUGCCUGCUGCUCAGAGACCUAGAUGGAGUUUGGAGAAGCAGACAGGAGUACCAGCACGGGAGCAAAGC